AGCAGGCGCGUAAAUUGCCCGAAUCCUGACACAGGGAGGUAGUGACAAGAAAUAACGAUACAGGGCUACAUCUAGUCUUGUAAUUGGAAUGAGUACAAUUUACAUCUCUUAACGAUGAUCAAUUGGAGGGCAAGUCUGGUGCCAGCAGCCGCGGUAAUUCCAGCUCCAAUAGCGUAUAUUAAAGUUGUUGCAGUUAGAACGCUCGUAGUCGGAUUUCGGGGCAGUCCGACCGGUCUGCCGAUGGGUAUGCACUGGCCGGAGUGUCCUUUUUGCCGGAGACCGUGCCUACUCUUAACUGAGCGGGGGCGGGAGACGGCACUUUUACUUUGAAAAAAUCAGAGUGUUUCAAGCAGGCAGCUCGCUCUUGCAUGGAUUAGCAUGGGAUAAUGAAAUAGGACUUUGGUGCUAUUUUGUUGGUUUCGAACACCGAAGUAAUGAUGUGAAGGGACAGUCAGGGGCACUCGUAUUCCGCAGAGAGAGGUGAAAUUCUCAGACCCGCGGAAGACGAACCACUGCGAAAGCAUUUGCCAGGGAUGUUUUCACUGAUCAAGAACGAAAGUUAGGGGAUCGAAGAUGAUCAGUUACCGUCGUAGUCUUAACCAUAAACCAUGCCGACUAGGGAUUGGAGGAUGUUCACUGAUUGACUCCUUCAGCACCUUACGGGAAACUAAAGUCUUUGGGUUCCGGGGGGAGUAUGGUCGCAAGGCUGAAACUUAAAGGAAUUGACGGAAGGGCACCACCAGGUGUGGAGCCUGCGGCUUAAUUUGACUCAACACGGGGAAACUUACCAGGUCCAGACAUUGUGAGGAUUGACAGAUUGAGAGCUCUUUCUUGAUUCGAUGGGUGGUGGUGCAUGGCCGUUCUUAGUUGGUGGAGUGAUCUGUCUGGUUAAUUCCGUUAACGAACGAGACCUUAGCCUGCUAAAUAGUGACGCGAACACUCCGUUCGCGGUCCACUUCUUAGAGGGACAACUUGUCUUCAACAAGUGGAAGUUUGAGGCAAUAACAGGUCUGUGAUGCCCUUAGAUGUUCUGGGCCGCACGCGCGCUACACUGAUGCACUCAACGAGUCACCACCUUGACCGAAAGGUCCGGGAAAUCUUCGAACUCGCAUCGUGAUGGGGAUAGAUUAUUGCAACUAUUAAUCUUCAACGAGGAAUACCUAGUAGGCGCAUGUCAUCAGCGCGCGUUGA
rnacentral:rRNA from 1 species